UGUCACCCAGCAUAUGAUGCUGCCUCUGCUGUUUACCAAGGAUGGGGAGAGAUUGAUGGUCACCCCAGUUAAUAUCCUAUUUACAGCGGGCAUCUGUCAGCCUCCCUUUAUGGGUCAUGCCCCUCUCCCAAACUGAGACGCACCGCGCUGCUCCUCUACCCAUCAGCCCAUACAAAUGCUGACCCAACGACCCUGCUGAGGACACACUCUGACCUGGCCACAGCUGGAUCCGCCAGAAGUUCCCUUCUUCAUCAGAAAGAACUCCUCUGCAAGUCUGUCACCAAAGCACAGCCCAAGUGCUCUCUCUUCACAUGCGCUUGAAUUAUCUAUGGGUG
rnacentral:lncRNA from 1 species